rnacentral:rRNA from 1 species
GACGUAGGAGGCAAGCGUUGUUCGGAAUUACUGGCGUAAGCGUCCGUAGGCGGAUCUGUAAGUGGAUAGUUAAAUCCCGGGGCUCAACCCCGUGGGUGCUACCCAGACUGCAGGUCUGGAGGUCGGCAGAGGGUGAUGGAAUUCCCGGUGUAGCGGUGAAAUGCGUAGACUAUCGUAAGGAAGACCAGUGGCGAAGGCGGGUCUCUGGACAGUUCCUGACGCUGAGCACGAAGGUCAGGGAGCAACGGGAUAGAAUACCGAGUGUCCA